GAUGCGGAGCGUAUCCGGAUUUAUUGGGUUUAAAGGGUGCGGUCGCAGCGGCUUUAGUCAGCGGUGAAUCUCGGGGCUUAACUCCGAAACUGCCGUUGAAACUGGGAGUCUUGAGUAUGGAUGAAGUAGGCGGAAUUCGUUGUGUAGCGGUGACAUGCUUAGAUAUAACGAGGAACUCCGAUUGCGUAGGCAGCUUACUAAGCCAUAACUGACGCUCAAGCACGAAAGCGUGGGGAUCAAACAGGAUUAGAUACCCUGGUAGUCCACGCCGUAAACGAUGAUUACUAGUUGUAUGCGAUAUACCGUAUGUGACUAAGCGAAAGCGAUAAGUAAUCCACCUGGGGAGUACGCCGGCAACGGUGAAACUCAAAGGAAUUGACGGGGGCCCGCACAAGCGGAGGAACAUGUGGUUUAAUUCGAUGAUACGCGAGGAACCUUACCCGGGCUUGAAAUGUACAUGAAUUACGUUGAAAGAUGUAAGCCAGCAAUGGCAUGUAUGUAGGUGCUGCAUGGUUGUCGUCAGCUCGUGCCGUGAGGUGUCGGCUUAAGUGCCAUAACGAGCGCAACCCACAUUGUUAGUUACUAACAGGUCAUGCUGAGGACUCUAACAAGACUGCCGUCGUAAGAUGCGAGGAAGGUGUGGAUGACGUCAAAUCAGCACGGCCCUUACGUCCGGGGCGACACACGUGUUACAAUGGGUGGUACAAAGGGCAGCUACUUGGUGACAAGAUGCUAAUCUCCAAAGCCACUCCCAGUUCGGAUCGGAGUCUGCAACUCGACUCCGUGAAGCUGGAUUCGCUAGUAAUCGCGCAUCAGCCAUGGCGCGGUGAAUACGUUCCCGGGCCUUGUACACACCGCCCGUCAAGCCAUGGAAGCUGGGGGUAUCUGAAGUGCGUAACCGCAAGGAGCGUCCUAGGAAUCCGGGNCU
rnacentral:rRNA from 1 species